GUAAGAUCCCUGAAAGAUGAUCAGGUUGAUAGGUUCGAGGUGGAAGCAUGGUGACAUGUGGAGCUGACGAAUACUAAUAGAUCGAGGACUUAACCAUAUAAUAUGUA
rnacentral:rRNA from 3 species